UACCUGCGAUCCGCCCCUGGGCAGGGCCAACUCCUCCAUCUCCUGCACACCUGGAGCCUAUUGCAGGCAAUCAAGCCAGAGGGAUUUAAGCCACACGUUGAUGAUCAUUCACUGCCAGUUCGUCAUCAACACAUUUGCUGUAUUCACCUUGGCUCACGCUCCACCUCCAGACUCAGGAUACCAAGCAAUCAUUUUGAAAAUCUCUCUGUGCCUCACCUGCCUGCCCUCCUGCCAUCACACUCCAUCUGAAGCCCCGGAUCUCAGUGUGACUGUUCCCUGCUCAGCUCCACUCUGC